AAGGAUUUAGUUUAAUUAAAACAUUUAAUUUCGGCUUAAAAACACUGGUUAAAAACCAGAUUCCUUU
rnacentral:tRNA from 1 species